UACGAGGGCCCAAACGUUAUUCGGAAUUACUGGGCUUAAAGAGUUCGUAGGCGGCGCAGAAAGUAGGGUGUGAAAGCCCUCGGCUCAACCGAGGAAUUGCGCUCUAAACUACUGUGCUUGAGGAACCUAGAGGUGAGCAGAACUGAUGGUGGAGCGGUGAAAUGCGUUGAUAUCAUCAGGAAUACCGGAGGCGAAGGCGGCUCACUGGGGGUUUUCUGACGCUGAGGAACGAAAGCCAGGGGAGCGAACGGG
rnacentral:rRNA from 1 species